UGGUGGAGUGAUUUGUCUGGUUAAUUCCGUUAACGAACGAGACCUCAGCCUACUAUUGUAGUUUAUGUUCUUAUCGCUUUUCCUCCCUUUUUUUGGGCGGGGAUCCGUGAUAGGGCAAACUUCUUAGAGGGACUGUCAGUUUUCAGCUGACGGAAGUUUGAGGCAAUAACA
rnacentral:rRNA from 1 species